AGUCCUGUUGUGUAAUCGUCACCAGAGGAUGAUGCAUGAAAGAGCUGAAGUGUGUCAAAGUCAGGGGUUAAAACUGGGCUUCAUGAGCUGCAGGGCUUCAGCAUCUAGUUAGCCCCACAGAAGACGAGCAAAUAUAAAGGGAGUAAUGUGUUACUGAAGGUCAUUUCAAAUGCAGCAUUUCUGCAAACACACAAAUUGUUUGUGCGCAGUUUGUGUAACAGUGUGUUGCAGCUAAAGGUCCAGCUGCUUAUUUGACAGGGAGAGAAAAGAAAGAGCUAACUUCACUCAGACAGACAGAUAAGACAGACGGGACAUGGCAGGAAGAAGAGAGCUUACAUUUAAAGGUGUGUCCAUCCACAGAGAGCAGCAGGUCAGCUGAUCACAGCCUGCACACUAAGAACAGCUGCUGGAGCUCUCAGGAGAAAUGAUUGCAAAGUCCCCUCUACAACGGAGGCAACAGCAAGUAGAUUUGAUUUGAUUUUCCUUUUUCUUCAGACUCAAGCUCAGUAUAAUUAGAAGCAAAAAUAGACUAAAGUUUGUUCCCCUCUAC